rnacentral:rRNA from 1 species
GAUGAACGCUGGCGGCGUGCCUAAUACAUGCAAGUCGAGCGAACAGAUGAGGAGCUUGCUCCUCUGACGUUAGCGGCGGACGGGUGAGUAACACGUGGAUAACCUACCUAUAAGACUGGGAUAACUUCGGGAAACCGGAGCUAAUACCGGAUAAUAUAUUGAACCGCAUGGUUCAAUAGUGAAAGACGGUUUUGCUGUCACUUAUAGAUGGAUCCGCGCCGCAUUAGCUAAUUGGUAAGGUAACGGCUUACCAAGGCAACGAUGCGUAGCCGACCUGAGAGGGUGAUCGGCCACACUGGAACUGAGAAACGGUCCAGACUCCUACGGGAGGCAGCAGUAGGGAAUCUUCCGCAAUGGGCGAAAGCCUGACGGAGCAACGCCGCGUGAGUGAUGAAGGUCUUCGGAUCGUAAAACUCUGUUAUUAGGGAAGAACAAAUGUGUAAGUAACUAUGCACGUCUUGACGGUACCUAAUCAGAAAACCACGGCUAACUACGU